GCGGUUUACAUUUGGACUUCACCUCUAUGCGAGCUGCAGUCUUGGGAUGUCAAUAUCACAUGGCAGACGGUUUUUCCUCCGGCAGAUGAGCAAAAGACACCGGCAAGUAUCCAUGUUCUUGUUCUGAGGGGCAUGCCAUCAGGAUUCUGCAAUGCUGAUUUCAGCACCAUCCUGCUGGACUAUGAAAAUGUCUGGUGCCUUCUGGGCAUUUUAUCUACUUGGAGGAUCAAGUGCAUCAACCUGGGAAAUCUUUGGCUGCCAGUGCCAUUGGGCCACAGCCCGCCCUGUGGUGACCUUUCCCACCGCCUUCCUGCAGACACACAGCAGGUCCCCAGAGAUGGCUGUCAACUGCAGCAGCCACCACAUAAAAUCAGGUUCCGGUAUUGCUGAAGAGCUUCACCUUGCCUUAAUACAGCGUCCGGGGGAAGGUUUGCCAGGACCAGACAAUGCCUUCCUCUUUGUCUCCCUUCUCAGCUCUAUUUUUCUGCCUGUUCCUGACUUUGUUCUUUGUUAGAAAGGUCCAGAGUGGCAGAGCAGUGGCUGCUGUUGUGCAAGACAUGUAAUUUUGACC
rnacentral:lncRNA from 1 species